rnacentral:rRNA from 1 species
GAUGAACGCUAGCGGCAGGCUUAACACAUGCAAGUCGAGGGGCAGCGGGGUGUAGCAAUACACUGCCGGCGACCGGCGCACGGGUGAGUAACGCGUAUCCAACCUGCCCGCCACUCGGGUAUAGCCCAGUGAAAACUGGAUUAAUCCCUGAUGGUCUCCUUUGCGGACAUCUGACGAGGAGUAAAGAUUCAUCGGUGGUGGAUGGGGAUGCGUCCGAUUAGCUAUGUUGGCGGGGUAACGGCCCACCAAGGCAACGAUCGGUAGGGGUUCUGAGAGGAAGGUCCCCCACAUUGGAACUGAGACACGGUCCAAACUCC